rnacentral:rRNA from 1 species
AAUGCGAGAUGCUACAGCAUCGAAGCAGUCUAUGUCAUACUUCCAAGAAAAGCUUGCACUGUCAUAAACAAAGAAUGCCUGUACCAUAACCGACACAGGUGGGUAGGUAGAGUAUACUAAGGGGCGCGAGAUAACUCUCUCUAAGGAACUCGGCAAAAUGACUCCGUAACUUCGGGAGAAGGAGUGCCUUAUUUCUAAGGUUGCAAUAACAAGAUCCAAGCAACUGUUUACCAAAAACACAGGUCUCCGCUAAGUCGUAAGACGAUGUAUGGGGGCUGACGCCUGCCCAGUGCCAGAAGGUUAAAGAAGUUGGUUAGCAUUAGCGAAGCUGAUAACUGAAGCCCUGGUGAACGGCGGCCGUAACAAUUACGGUCCUAAGGUAGCGAAAUUCCUUGUCGGGUAAGCUCCGACCCGCACGAAAGGCGUAAUGAUUUGGAUACUGUCUCGGAGAGGGGCUCGGUGAAAUAGACUUGUCUGUGAAGAUGCGGACUACCUGCACCUGGACAGAAAGACCCUAUGAAGCUUUACUGUAACUUGAGAUUGAAAUUGGACUUUAUUUGCGCAGUAUAGGUGGGAGGCGUUGAGAAUAAUCUUGCGGGAUUGUUGGAGCCAUCAGUGAGAUACCACUCUUGUAAUGUUAGAUUUCUAACUUUGUAUCAUUAUCUGGUCAAAGAACAGUUUCAGGCGGGCAGUUUGACUGGGGCGGUCGCCUCCCAAAGGGUAACGGAGGCGCACAAAGGUUUCCUCUGAACGGGUAGAAAUCGUAUCUAGAGUGUAAAGGCAUAAGGAAGCUUGACUGUGAGACCUACAAGUCGAGCAGGGACGAAAGUCGGUCUUAGUGAUCUGACGGUGCUGAGUGGAAAGGCCGUCACUCAACGGAUAAAAGUUACUCUAGGGAUAACGGGCUGAUCUCCCCCAAGAGUUCACAUCGACGGGGAGGUUUGGCACCUCGAUGUCGGCUCAUCGCAUCCUGGGGCGGUAGUCCGUCCCAAGGGUUGGGCUGUUCGCCCAUGAAAGCGGUACGCGAGCUGGGUUCAGAACGUCGUGAGACAGUUCGGUCCAUAUCCGGUGUAGGCGUUAGAAUAUUGAGAGGAGCCUUCUCUAGUACGAGAGGACCGAGAAGGACAUACCUCUGGUGUACCAGUUAUCGUGCCAACGGUAAACGCUGGGUAGCUAUGUAUGGAGUGGAUAACCGCUGAAAGCAUCUAAGUGGGAAGCCCACCUCAAGAUAAGUAUUCUC